ACGUUGUUGUUCAGUUUAUUAAAAAAAAGUCUAUCUGCGUCGUAGCUGUUGUUUAUUUGAUCGAAAUUUAUAAAUAUUUGGACAAAAAAUGCCAAAGGAAAACCCUCUACCGAAACAAAAUGGACCGUUGGGAGGGUUGGGAGCAAGCACCAAAAUAAACGAAUGUUCCGAUACAAUCACCGUUUUGAAGCAUAUCAUCGAUGCUCCGAUAGUGUGCCCUCCAGGCUACGCUCUUGA